AUUGAACGCUGGCGGCAUGCCUUACACAUGCAAGUCGAACGGUAGAGUAGCAAUACUUGAGAGUGGCGAACGGGUGAGUAAUAUAUCGGAACGUGCCCAGUCGUGGGGGAUAACGUAAAGAAAUUUACGCUAAUACCGCAUACGAUCUAAGGAUGAAAGCGGGGGACUCGCAAGAGCCUCGCGCGAUUGGAGCGGCUGAUAUCAGAUUAGGUUGUUGGUGAGGUAAAAGCUCACCAAGCCGACGAUCUGUAGCUGGUUUGAGAGAACGACCAGCCACACUGGGACUGAGACACGGCCCAGACUCCUACGGGAGGCAGCAGUGGGGAAUUUUGGACAAUGGGCGAAAGCCUGAUCCAGCAAUGCCGCGUGUGGGAAGAAGGCCUUCGGGUUGUAAACCACUUUUGUACGGAACGAAAAGGUCUGCCUUAAUACGGUGGGCCCAUGACGGUACCGUAAGAAUAAGCACCGGCUAACUACGUGCCAUCAGCCGCGGUAAUACGUAGGGUGCGAGCGUUAAUCGGAAUUACUGGGCGUAAAGCGUGCGCAGGCGGUUAUAUAAGACAGUUGUGAAAUCCCCGGGCUCAACCUGGGAAUCGCAUCUGUGACUGUAUAGCUAGAGUACGGUAUAGGGGGAUGGAAUUCCGCGUGUAGCACUGAAAUGCGUAGAUAUGCGGAGGAACACCGAUGGCGAAGGCAAUCCCCUGGAUCUGUACUGACGCUCAUGCACGAAAGCGUGGGGAGCAAACAGGAUUAGAUACCCUGGUAGUCCACGCCCUAAACGAUGUCAACUGGAUGUUGGGUGCAUUAGUACUCAGUAACGAAGCUAACGCGUGAAGUUGACCGACUGGGGAGUACGGCCGCAAGGUUGAAACUCAAGGAAUUGACGGGACCCGCACA
rnacentral:rRNA from 1 species